ensembl:lncRNA
GACUUGCUUUUUCUUUGCUGGAUAUCUGGGAACCGAGCCCAUCCGCACUUUCUCCAUGAAACUUGAAGGGCAAUGUAUCAUUGUGGGAGAGAUACUGCAGUUUUUCCAAACAGAAACCUAGCCCUUCUUAGGGUCGUCUUCAUUUACAAGAUGGAGGUAUUUUAAAUGAAGAAGACAAACCUAACUUUCAAUGAACUAGGAGGGGAAAAAAUCCUAGAAUCGAAUUCCUCUUUGCUCUGGAAAACAAAUCGCCUCCCUUUGGGUUUUAGAAGGACCAUCUGGCAAGUGAAUUGGCCUCUCUGCUUUCCAUCGAAGGAGCCAGGAGAAACACUGUCUGCACGCCCCUGGCCUGGCCUUGGAGGAGUGCUUUUGAUCUGAUGGCCUUGCAGGAGGCAUGCCACCUACCUCUGCUGCCUUUCUGUUUGAAGGGCUGUGAGUUUCCCUUUCUGUCCUCCAGGAAGAAUUUAUGAUUUCCUCUCUGUCCUCUUAGUCCCUGAAUGCAAGAGAUAGCUCCCCUCACUCACUGCAGAUGCUGCGGGGUAUCAUUUAAAGUCUGCUGACAUGAAACACCCUGCCAUGAGAUCAACUCAGCAGACCAAGGGAAGGCUGGAGAUCGUGGUGGCCAAGGGAUGUUCAGACACACCUACCUACAGCACAAUCAGCCCCUUUAUUGUACGGAAGAAGAGGCAGCAAACCAGCCAGAAGAAAGCCACUUUGUUUAACAUUCCAAAGGCGUUCCCAGUGUCUCCCAGAGUCCUCAUUAAUUACCUGGAGAAUUACCAAUGCGUUCUGGGAUCCCAUGAGAGACUCCUUCCACUGCAAUUCGCCAACCCUUGUGACACUGGGAUGAUGAAAUAGGCGCACUUGAUGAGGAGAGAAGAGGAAACGGAGUCCGGGCACAGAGUCAGAAGGCCUUGGCUUGGGAGAUUUCUGAAUCACGGACACGGCCUGCCCUCUCACAAGUAGAGGCAAAAGAUGUCAGGGUUGUUGGCAGAUGCGGGCACGGAGCUUUGGGGUGGCAAUAAUAACGAUUUUCAGGGCACGGGCAGUUAGGCGAGGGAGGGCUGUUAGGUGAGUGGAGGAGUGAGGGUCCUGGACCAGGCAGGGCCGAGCACGGGCCAGGGAAGGAGGACUGUGAGUACCGGCUGUUUCUUUAGAUUUGGAACCAGAAAGUGCUGGCAUUAAAGCUAGAACAACAGAAUCACAGGAAAGGAUCUUAGAGGUUACAUAAUGCUGGCAUUUUAAAACCAGGUUCCCUGGCGUUCUAAAGAUUCUAUGUGAAGGCGUUUCGGGGACUGCUGUUCAGUGUUUGGUAAAAGGGGAUGGGGGGCUGGUCCUUCAUCCCCAUUUUAACAUCAGUUUGUAUCUAUUUUAGACAUUGGGAUUCUGAAUAUGAUUUAUUUCUGGAAAGGCUUUUGUACUUAAAAAUUACUGUUCCUUUCCAACCUCUUCAUUUGACAGCUCAGAAAAGGAAGCUGACUUUGUAGAGACGUACAGCCAGCAUGUGACAUCACACUGUGAUGUUCACCCCCCUGGGUGUGGUGGCAUCAUGGUACUAUAGAUCAAACAGGCCCGGAAACGCCAGGCUACAUUCUUUUCCCUCAGAGUGGCCCAUUUAUUUUGCUCCUAUUCUCCAGUUCUAACCCCACCAAAACCCAAACCAGUGCUCAGAUUUAUAAUAUUCCAUGUACACCAUGGUCUGGAAAGAGGACUGGCCCAAAAGUGUGGUGAACAAGGUUGCCUGUGUGGUGUGACGUGUGUAGGCCUCAGCCAACCCCCAAUAACUUCCCAUCUAACUAGAAUUCCCACCACCGGUUAGGCCAGCAGUUUUCAAGUAAACUCAGGUGCCAGUGUGCCUGUGGAACACCACGAAUUGUUGACUGACUGAAUUCCAUCCUACAAAUGAGCAGCGACUUUACCAGCAGGAAAGCUAGCUGUGUUAGAAGCACACAGUACAACAUCGUGGUCACACACGCUGCGUGAGUCAUUAAGACUGGUCCCACAUGUUCUGGUUCUCCGUCUAGGCACACAGUGGGCUUGUACUUCUCCAUUGCCUUUCACAGCCAUGGCCAUAUGACAUGUUUUGGCCGAAUAAAUGUGCGUGGAAGCUUUUGAAGUCAGUGGGUGAUUCUCGUCAUUCUCUUCCCCGUGGUGCAGUCUCUGCCGAAGUCCACUUUGAGACGGAGCCUCUGUUUGCCAGAGUCCUGGGGUUGCUACGAUGAGGAGAGCUCUCCAACCUACAUCAAACAUGGUGUGAACAAGAAAUACAUCUUUGUUUGUUAAACCAUUAGGAUUUUGGAGUUUUGUUACCAUAGCAAAACCUAGCUUAUCCUAACUGAUAUAGCCACUUAUCAAAAAUAAACCAAUUAACUGUGAAAUGGAACAUUGCUGAUUUCCUCAUGACUUUUCUGUUAAUUUAAUCUCUCGUCUCCAAUUUUGGAAGUCUAGUACCAAUAGCCACAUGAGUGGAGAAUUCUUAUUUGAAGGAUUUAGAACUGUAUGGGAAAAAUUAUACUAACUGGACAAGGACUGUAGAUGAGCUGAUGAAAAUUUAUGCAUCAUUUUAUAUUCAUUAAAAUGGACCAUGAAGACAGCACAACAAAUAAUGAGAAAAAUCAUGAUACUUGAUAUUUAAUAAUACCAGACACCAAAAUCAAUGAUAUUUAAUGCAUGUUAAAUUAGCCUCAGUGGAAUC